GAGAGGAAGGAUAAGGACGCAAAGAAAAGAAGUAAAAAGAGGAGAAAGCAUAAAAGUUCAUCAAAGUCAAGUUCCAGCUCAUCUUCAGAAUCUUCAAGCAGCGACGAUGAGGAUAGGGGUUCAAGGAAGUCCAGAUCACAGUCGAGAUCAAAGAGAACAAGGAAGGAAAAGAAGAGCCAGUCAAGGUCCAAGCACAGAGGCAGUGAAAGCGAGGAGGAAGGCCCGGUACGCCUCUCUAAAUUCUUCGGGAAGUUGAGCGAGCCGUUUACCAUGGUGUUCUCAAUAUGAUGCUCAGCUGUUAAGAGGGUCUGGUCAAGUUGUGUGGCUUCCAAAAACUUUGUAAGCAACUGAUAAGUCAUUAUUAAAUCGCUGUACCUUGGAGGAUUUGAUGCCAUAUAUUUGAGACAUUGAACUGCUAUAUUUAUGUUAA